GAUAGUGAUAAUGGCUGCCAUCAACCGAGUUUACAUCUCCACCUCAUAAUCUACACCAGAGGAAGAGUUUAUUGCAUGUGAGAAAAAUAGGCCAAAUCAUGUUUAUGGCUCACUGAUUCUCUAAGCCUUCUUGACCUGCAAACUCUGACCAAGUGCAAGAAUGUCCCCACUUGUAGCAAAAAACGCCCGAAUGUCUGUUCUACAAUAAAACACCUGCCCACUUAAAUCUAAAGACAGUACAGCAGUGACAUCUCCUAAGUUAGACAAUGCCAUGAAGACACACUCGGAUCCAUCAAGCAGAAGUUGGUCAUGAGACUGACCCAACAGACUGUAGUGAAUACAGAACACAGCGCAUGCCCUUGGCACUGAUCAUCUAGCGAGAGAGACUUCACAGAUCAACAGUCAAAGACUGUCAGCAAGAUUUGGAGAGAGAAGAUGCCACGGUUCAUACAGAAACCAGUCAGUCACUAUCACUAUCUCGACUCGUCUCCCCGAAGCUGUGACUCUUCCUCGUCUGUCUGUGAUGUUUCUGUGCAACGCUACUUCCCAGCUCCGUGAAGAUUCUUUUACUCCCGCCACACACCCCACG